rnacentral:pre_miRNA from 1 species
CAAGUACUCCCUCCGUCCCAAAAUUCUUGUCUUAGAUUUGUUUAGAUACGGAUGUAUCUAACACUAAAAUGUAACUAGAUACAUCCAUAUUUAGACAAAUGUAAGACAAGAAUUUCGGGACGGAGGGAGUAGUAC